GAGAGAUGACAAGGGCCUGAGCAGAGAGCUGCGUGUUUUGAAUCACUGGAGUUGCUGUUCUGGGAGCAGAUGUGAGGCCGUUGCAGAGAAUACUCCAGGCAAACCCUGAGGUUCAGCAACAACCUGGGUUAAUCAGAAGCUGCUGACCCUGGGAAGACGGUCUCAGAGGAGUGAGCCUAUUUUAAGCUGGUCAUUUACAUGGUACCUGCAUUCUCUGGCAUUUGGACAGCAUGGACCUUUUUUUUAUUUUCCCUGUGCACGAUGCUCUGUUUUAUUACAUGCAGUCCUAGAUCCAUAGAAUUAAGCUCAGAUUUUCAGGCUUGGCAUCAGAAGCCUUUACCCACGGAGCCAUCUCACCUGACGUGUGUGUAGUUUUGCAGAGAAUAACAAGAAAGACAUUUGCUGACACUGCCUCCUGUCUGGAUUUACAG
ensembl:lncRNA